AUUGAACGCUGGCGGAAUGCUUUACACAUGCAAGUCGAGCGGCAGCACGGGGGCAACCCUGGUGGCGAGUGGCGAACGGGUGAGUAAUACAUCGGAACGUGCCCGGUCGUGGGGGAUAACGUAGCGAAAGUUACGCUAAUACCGCAUACGAUCUGAGGAUGAAAGCGGGGGACCUUCGGGCCUCGCGCGAUCGGAGCGGCCGAUGUCAGAUUAGGUAGUUGGUGGGGUAAAGGCCUACCAAGCCGACGAUCUGUAGCUGGUCUGAGAGGACGACCAGCCACACUGGGACUGAGACACGGCCCAGACUCCUACGGGAGGCAGCAGUGGGGAAUUUUGGACAAUGGGCGCAAGCCUGAUCCAGCCAUUCCGCGUGCAGGACGAAGGCCUUCGGGUUGUAAACUGCUUUUGUAUGGAACGAAGAGGCUCUGGCUAAUACCUGGGGCUCAUGACGGUACCGUAAGAAUAAGCACCGGCUAACUACGUG
rnacentral:rRNA from 1 species